CCUCAGACUCAAAUCGACGGCUCCUCCCUUCUCGGAUUCCUUUCACCUCUACAUUUCUUUCCUCCGAGAUCCAGAUAACCGCCGGCGAGAUGCUCCCCUGCCGCCCCUGCAUCGAGCGCUAUCCACCUCGCGCCCCCUCGCCUGUCCAUUCCGCCGCCCACACCAGCGCCUCCUCCCGCCGCUCCCAUCCAGCGCCUCCUCCCGUCGCCCCUACAGCGCCUCCUCCCGUCGCCCCUACAGCGCCUCCUCCCCGUCGCCCUCUCCAGCACCCGUACGCCGGCGCCCCCUCCAGCGCCUCCUCCGGCGCCCCUUGGGGGCCCGUAUGCCGGCGCCCCUUGGGCCUGGACGCUGGCGCGCCGCCAGGGCCCGUGGCCGGCGCAGCCGGCGCCUCUGCCUCGCACACGUCUUCCUCCCUGCAACGAGCCACCCCCCGGAAUUGGGAUGAUGGGGCGGGAGCACCUCCACAACCUCGCCCACCUCACCACCGAGGUCGACGGGGAGCAGUCCGUCAAGGUGCGGGUCACCGGCCUCGCCGACCCCCACCAGGAGUCCCUCCGCCUCAGCCUCCAGCUCGCCAACGAGCUCGGCCUCCCCGCUCCACAGCUGAUAGAUAUCGUUAAGAGUGGUACACUACGGCAAGUCAGAAUGGUGGCCAUACGUGAACACCGUUUUCCUUUCCUUGUUAAGGUAAACAACUAGAACAGGUUCAACUGCAACAGUGGGGGAACACUGGUAGAGAAGUGCUGCCAUUUCUUUGAUUUGAUGAGAUUGUUUGCAGCUGCAAAUCCAGUUCGUGUGGUGGCUUCUGGAGCCAUUGAUGUAAACCACAAGGAUGAAAUGUAUGAUGGAAAGAAACUACUAGAAGGUUUUGGGAAUACAAGAAGGCCCUCAACCUUAAGCUAAAGCAAAGUUAAAUAUCAUGAAUGGUUGGAGUGAUCAAGAUUAAAGAUGCGUACGAAUAAUAUAGGUUUUUCUAAUAUUUUUAUUAUUGGGAGUGAUGGAUGAAUGGACAAGAGUUCUUAUAUAUGCAUACGAAUAAUAUAGGUUUUCUAGAAUUUUCAUUAUUGGGAGUGAUGUGGAUGAAUGGACAAGAGUUACUUUCAUAUGUCGAAUAUUCUAUUUUAUCAUGAAUGGUGUGUAUGAAUGAUGUAUUGAUUUAAUUAAUGAUAUAUAUAUAUAUAUAUAUAUGUGGCAUCAA